AACGAACGCUGGCGGCGUGGAUAAGACAUGCAAGUCGAACGGGACAAUUCGAGUAGCAAUAUUUGGAUUGUUUAGUGGCGAAAGGGUGCGUAACACGUAGCUACCUACCUCGAAAUGGGGGAUAAUCCCGCGAAAGCGAGACUAAUACCGCAUGUGACUGAAAAGUUAAAGUUGGGGAUCGUAAGACCUGACGUUUUUGAGAUGGGGCUGCGGCCUAUCAGCUAGUUGGCGGGGUAAUGGCCCACCAAGGCAAUGACGGGUAGCUGGUCUGAGAGGACGACCAGCCACACUGGAACUGAGACACGGUCCAGACACCUACGGGUGGCAG
rnacentral:rRNA from 1 species